UAGGGAAUAUUGCGCAAUGGGCGAAAGCCUGACGCAGCAAUCCCGCGUGGUGGAUGAAGGAUUUCGGUCUGUAAACACCUGUCGGUGGGGAAGAUAAUGACGGUACCCACAGAGGAAGCACCGGCUAACUACGUGCCAGCAGCCGCGGUAAUACGUAGGGUGCGAGCGUUGUCCGGAAUUAUUGGGCGUAAAGCGUCCGUAGGCGGUUAGAUAAGUUUGGCGUUAAAGGCGCGGGCUCAACCCGUGUAGUGCGUUGAAAACUGUCUGACUAGAGUAUAGUAGGGGAAGCUGGAAUUCUUGGUGUAGCGGUGAAAUGCGUAGAUAUCAAGAGGAACACCCGUAGCGAAAGCGGGCUUCUGGGCUAUUACUGACGCUAAUGGACGAAAGCUAAGGUAGCGAAAGGG
rnacentral:rRNA from 1 species